AAUCAAUUUUAUUGCACCUUUGCUGUUAACAAUUUACUCAAUCUACAGCUUCAAUUAAGUAUCCCUUUAUAUUAGUUAUUGAAUAUCUAGGGAAAGAUAUUCAAUAAAGUAUAUCUAUAAAGUAAGUUAUAUUAAUACAGAUCAAUACAUUAGAACAAUUCUACAUAAUUUUUGUUUUUUUUACCGGAAUACGGUACGUUUCUUAACCUAUACUGUAUAUGAUUUUUUUUAUCAAAGCUUCACUGAACCGCGAAAUUGAUGAUGUAUUGAUCUUUGAUACUGAUAGCAUGACUCUUCAGUCGACAAUAGAAUUUUGAACUUAAAACUUUUUGUUUUGUUUACAACACUGAAUUAUAUAAGAAGUCUUGGAUGAUGAGAUUUUUGUAACCCGUUGGUAUUUACGGUGCAGACAUGGAUACAGUUUUUAUGUAUCAUAUUGUAUUAUUAUUAAGAAGGUGUACUUUAUCCUUUUGAGGUUUGGUGUAU